rnacentral:rRNA from 1 species
AUUGAACGCUGGCGGCAUGCCUUACACAUGCAAGUCGAACGGCAGCACGGGAGCAAUCCUGGUGGCGAGUGGCGAACGGGUGAGUAAUAUAUCGGAACGUGCCCAGUCGUGGGGAUAACGUAGCGAAAGCUACGCUAAUACCGCAUACGAUCUAUGGAUGAAAGCGGGGGAUCGCAAGACCUCGCGCGAUUGGAGCGGCCGAUAUCAGAUUAGGUAGUUGGUGAGGUAAAGGCUCGCCAAGCCGACGAUCUGUAGCUGGUCUGAGAGGACGACCAGCCACACUGGGACUGAGACACGGCCCAGACUCCUACGGGAGGCAGCAGUGGGAAUUUUGGACAAUGGGCGC